AUUGAACGCUGGCGGAAUGCUUUACACAUGCAAGUCGAACGGCAGCACGGACUUCGGUCUGGUGGCGAGUGGCGAACGGGUGAGUAAUGUAUCGGAACGUGCUCAGUAGUGGGGGAUAACGUAGUGAAAAUUACGCUAAUACCGCAUACGAUCUAUGGAUGAAAGCGGGGGAUCGCAAGACCUCGCGCGAUUGGAGCGGCCGAUAUCAGAUUAGGUAGUUGGUGGGGUAAAGGCCCACCAAGCCAACGAUCUGUAGCUGGUCUGAGAGGACGACCAGCCACACUGGAACUGAGACACGGUCCAGACUCCUACGGGAGGCAGCAGUGGGGAAUUUUGGACAAUGGGCGAAAGCCUGAUCCAGCCAUUCCGCGUGCAGGAUGAAGGCCCUCGGGUUGUAAACUGCUUUUGUACAGAACGAAAAGGUUUCUACUAAUACUAGGAGCUCAUGACGGUACUGUAAGAAUAAGCACCGGCUAACUCUGUGCCAGCCGCCGCCGUAA
rnacentral:rRNA from 1 species